UACAGAGGUGGCAAGCGUUGUUCGGAAUUACUGGGCGUAAAGGGCGCGUAGGCGGUCUUCUAAGUCUUGUGUGAAAUCCCUCGGCUCAACUGAGGAACUGCACGGGAUACUGGAAGACUUGAGUUCGGGAGAGGGAAGCGGAAUUCCGGGUGUAGCGGUGAAAUGCGUAGAUAUCCGGAGGAACACCGGUGGCGAAGGCGGCAUCCUGGACCGACAUUGACGCUGAACGGCGAAAGCUAGGGGAGCAAACGGG
rnacentral:rRNA from 1 species